UACGUAGGGAGCGAGCGUUGUCCGGAUUUAUUGGGCGUAAAGAGCGCGUAGGCGGCUCGGUAAGCCGGAUGUGAAACCUCCAAGCUUAACUUGGAGCGGCCAUUCGGAACUGCUGUGGCUAGAGUCUGGUAGGGGAACACGGAAUUCCUGGUGUAGCGGUGAAAUGCUUAGAUAUCAGGAGGAACACCAGUGGCGAAGGCGGUGUUCUGGGCCAGUACUGACGCUGAGGCGCGAAAGCGUGGGGAGCGAACGGG
rnacentral:rRNA from 1 species